rnacentral:rRNA from 1 species
UACGUAGGGGGCAAGCGUUGUCCGGAAUCAUUGGGCGUAAAGCGCGUGUAGGCGGUUCGAUAAGUCUGCUGUGAAAGUCCAGGGCUCAACCCUGGGAUGCCGGUGGAUACUGUCGGGCUAGAGUGCGGAAGAGGCGAGUGGAAUUCCCGGUGUAGCGGUGAAAUGCGCAGAUAUCGGGAGGAACACCAAUUGCGAAGGCAGCUCGCUGGGACGUGACUGACGCUGAGACGCGGAAAGCGUGGGGAGCAAACAGG